rnacentral:misc_RNA from 1 species
GAUGAAGAACGUAGCGAAAUGCGAUAAGUAAUGCGAAUUGCAGAAUUCCAGUGAGUCAUCGAAUCUUUGAACGCACAUUGCGCCCUUUGGUAUUCCGAAGGGCAUGCCUGUUCGAGCGUCAUUAUCACCCCUCAAGCCCUCGGCUUGGUGUUGGACGGUUUGGUGGAGGCCCCCUCGGGGGCUCCUGCCCCUCCCAAAGACAAUGACGGCGGCCUCGUUGGACCCCCGGUACACUGAGUUCUUCACGGGACACGUAUCGGACACAUGGGUUUACGGGACACGGUCUGCCUCCCCUCAGGGCGAAUCUUUCUAAGGUUGACCUCGGAUCAGGUAGGGAUACCCGCUGAACUUAAGCAUAUCAAUAAGCGGAGGA